UACGAAGGGGGCUAGCGUUGCUCGGAAUCACUGGGCGUAAAGCGCACGUAGGCGGCUUUCUAAGUCAGGGGUGAAAGCCUGUGGCUUAACCACAGAAUUGCCUUCGAUACUGUUUGGCUUGAGACCGGAAGAGGUGAGUGGAACUGCGAGUGUAGAGGUGAAAUUCGUAGAUAUUCGCAAGAACACCAGUGGCGAAAGCGACUGCCUGGACCAAUACUGACGCUCAUGUGCGAAAGCGUGGGGAGCAAACAGG
rnacentral:rRNA from 1 species